ACGCCUAACACAUGCAAGUCGAACGAAGUAGCAAUACUUAGUGGCAGACGGGUGAGUAACAUGUAGGUAUCUGCCCUUUGGCCUGGAAUAACACGAGGAAACUUGUGCUAAUACCGGAUAAGUCUUUACGGAGAAAGCUUUAUGCACCAUUGGAUGAGCCUGCACUUGAUUAGUUAGUUGGUAGGGUAAUAGCCUACCAAGACUUUGAUCAAUAGCUGAUUUGAGAGGAUGAUCAGCCACAUUGGGACUGAGACACGGCCCAAACUCCUACGGGAGGCAGCAGUGGGGAAUCUUGCACAAUGGAGGAAACUCUGAUGCAGCGAUGCCGCGUGAGUGAAGAAGGCCUUUGGGUUGUAAAGCUCUUUCGUCGGGGAAGAAAAUGACUGUACCCGAAUAAGAAGGUCCGGCUAACUUCGUGCCAGCAGCCGCGGUAAUACGAAGGGACCUAGCGUAGUUCGGAAUUACUGGGCUUAAAGAGUUCGUAGGUGGUUGAAAAAGUUGGUGGUGAAAUCCCAGAGCUUAACUCUGGAACUGCCAUCAAAACUUUUCAGCUAGAGUUUGAUAGAGGAAAGCAGAAUUUCUAGUGUAGAGGUGAAAUUCGUAGAUAUUAGAAAGAAUACCAAUUGCGAAGGCAGCUUUCUGGAUCAUUACUGACGCUGAGGAACGAAAGCAUGGGUAGCGAAGAGGAUUAGAUACCCUCGUAGUCCAUGCCGUAAACGAUGUGUGUUAGACGUUGGAAAUUUAUUUUCAGUGUCGCAGCGAAAGCGUUAAACACACCGCCUGGGGAGUACGACC
rnacentral:rRNA from 1 species